rnacentral:lncRNA from 1 species
GAGAGCGUGGGUUCUAGUGGGUUACGUUUUGAGCUUUGGUUCGGAAGGGGAUCAUCCCGGCAGGCCUAUACAUUGCAAGCAGCCUCUGCUGAAGUCAAGCAUCAGUGGACAAAUAUUAUAGCCCAACUGCUCUGGAGACAAGCUGCCCAGCCAAGUGUCUCAAUGAGCUUGUCCUCCUGCCCUUCUCAGCGCUUAGCUCCUCUGGGUCUUGGCCCUGGUCCCCCUCCUGGUUUGUCACUCCCUGGCCACUUUGAGGAAGAGGAAUGGGACUUAGAUGUCAAGCCCAUCCCAAGAGCUCACACCUCUGGGUCAGAGGGAGCCUCCCCAAGCCACCAUGAACC